rnacentral:rRNA from 1 species
GAGUUGAGACGUGAAUACGAGACGCUAAGGCGUCGAAGUAGUGUAUGUCAUACUUCCAAGAAAAGCUUGCACUGUCAUAAGUAAAAAAUGCCUGUACCAUAACCGACACAGGUGGGUAGGUAGAGUAUACUAAGGGGCGCGAGAUAACUCUCUCUAAGGAACUCGGCAAAAUAACUCCGUAACUU